GUCCAACCGGUAGCAAUACCGGUGAAGACCAAGUGGCGAACGGGUGAGUAGCACGUGAGCAACCUGCCCCGAAGACCGGGACAACACCGGGAAACCGGUGCUAAUACCGGAUAUCCCCACCGAGUCGCAUGGCUUGGUGAGGAAAUGGAUUCCGCUUCGGGAGGGGCUCGCGGCCUAUCAGCUUGUUGGUGAGGUAACGGCUCACCAAGGCUUCGACGGGUAGCUGGUCUGAGAGGACGAUCAGCCACACUGGGACUGAGACACGGCCCAGACUCCUACGGGAGGCAGCAGUGGGGAAUCUUGCACAAUGGGCGAAAGCCUGAUGCAGCAACGCCGCGUGAGGGACGAAGGCUUUCUGAG
rnacentral:rRNA from 1 species